UACGUAGGGGGCCAGCGUUGUCCGGAAUUAUUGGGCGUAAAGAGCUUGUAGGCGGUCUGUCGCGUCUGCUGUGAAAAUCCGGGGCUCAACCCCGGACUUGCAGUGGGUACGGGCAGACUAGAGUGUGGUAGGGGAGACUGGAAUUCCUGGUGUAGCGGUGAAAUGCGCAGAUAUCAGGAGGAACACCGAUGGCGAAGGCAGGUCUCUGGGCCACUACUGACGCUGAGAAGCGAAAGCAUGGGGAGCGAACAGG
rnacentral:rRNA from 1 species